AUCUGUGAUAUUUGCAGUGGAACAGCGGAGUCCUGGUCCACAUGGGCUGGUCGGACGGGGAGCAGCUGCUGUGUGUGCAGGAGAGCGGAGAUGUGCUCGUUUAUGACAUGUUUGGCGCCUACCAGAAGACAUUCAAUAUGGGGCAAGAAAUUAGGGACACUAAGGUCAGCAAAGCACAGCUGUUCCCAAAUAGGACUGGCUCUAACACCAACCGCUGAGCAACAUCUCCGAGCCCAAAGUCAGGCCCGUACCAGAUCUGCCACAUGACGACACAGAGACUGUAAGGAACGUUUGUCUUAUGCUUCUGGCAUAUGUCAGAAACGUAUCGCCGGCUCGAAAACGGAAAGGCGCAGUGGCUCUGAAGUUUUCUCGCGCGGAAAUAUGCGACGGAUUUUUCAAACAAGUGUCAUCAGAAGCACAUGUCAUUAGCUACAUAAUCGAGAAGAGAGAACAAUACAUGAAAUAGAAGUGGACUAUGCAGCCAUUUGUUAUUUUACUAUUUUUUGUUACUAUUCGUACACUCAGUAUUUUUUUGUAUUUGUCUAUUAUUCUUUUGGAACAUAUGUACACCCUUAAAACAUGUCUUAAAUCAGAAAUAAUAGUAACACAAUUUACAAUUACAGAAGUAACAAGUGAAUGUCAUUAUUGUUUUAGUCACUAGAGUCCUAGAUCAGUCAACAGAGUGAUCACUACCUGUGAGCGUCUAUCAAAUGGUGUUCUUAUGUUGUAGAAUCCCAAUUGGAUAAAAACCCACAGAUCAUUACAUUCUUCGGGAUAGCAAGCUCCGGUUGAUUGGUAUAUUUUAAAGACACAGUCUAUGGCAGUUACAAGUUUUUCGAAACGGUAAACAGUUUCGUUGACGACAACGUAUGCAGCGUUUACAUUCGAGAUUAAAAAAAUACCCAGUAGUUACCACUAUCUUAGUUUGGUGGUAAAAGGUGGGGAAAAAAA